rnacentral:rRNA from 1 species
AGUGAACGCUGGCGGUAGGCCUAACACAUGCAAGUCGAACGGCAGCACAGUAAGAGCUUGCUCUUACGGGUGGCGAGUGGCGGACGGGUGAGGAAUACAUCGGAAUCUACUUUUUCGUGGGGGAUAACGUAGGGAAACUUACGCUAAUACCGCAUACGACCUACGGGUGAAAGCAGGGGAUCUUCGGACCUUGCGCGAUUGAAUGAGCCGAUGUCGGAUUAGCUAGUUGGCGGGGUAAAGGCCCACCAAGGCGACGAUCCGUAGCUGGUCUGAGAGGGUGAUCGGCCACACUGGAACUGAGACACGGUCCAGACUCCUACGGGAGGCAGCAGUGGGGAAUAUUGGACAAUGGGCGCAAGCCUGAUCCAGCCAUACCGCGUGGGUGAAGAAGGCCUUCGGGUUGUAAAGCCCUUUUGUUGGGAAAGAAAAGCAGCAGGUUAAUCCCCCGCUGUUCUGACGGUACCCAAAGAAUAAGCACCGGCUAACUUCGUG